rnacentral:rRNA from 1 species
AUUGAACGCUGGCGGCAUGCCUUACACAUGCAAGUCGAACGGUAACGCGGGGCAACCUGGCGACGAGUGGCGAACGGGUGAGUAAAGUAUCGGAACGUGCCCAAUAGUGGGGGAUAGCCCGGCGAAAGCCGGAUUAAUACCGCAUGAGACCUGAGGGUGAAAGCGGGGGACGUCGCAAGAGCCUCGCGCUGUUGGAGCGGCCGAUAUCAGAUUAGGUAGUUGGUGGGGUAAAGGCCUACCAAGCCGACGAUCUGUAGCUGGUCUGAGAGGACGACCAGCCACACUGGGACUGAGACACGGCCCAGACUCCUACGGGAGGCAGCAGUGGGGAAUUUUGGACAAUGGGCGGCAAGCCUGAUCCAGCCAUGCCGCGUGCGGGAAGAAGGCC